GAGAAGUAUAAUUUCUAUCAUGGCAUUGAUUAAGCUUUGUUCUAUUUUCGUUGUUCUUCUUGCAGCAGUCACUGUCAACAUGCCGUGGAUUUCAAAGACACAAUUCAUGGCUACACUCGAUGUUAAGCAUGAUCUCUCAAGAAUUACGAGGAGGUUAUUCCCGCAACUUAACACUUGUUGGAAUUCUUGCACUUCUGACAGUGAUUGUAGUGACUGCUGGAUAUGUUGUACUUGUUGGUACAACGCUACUCUAUUAGAAGAUAAACCUUCCUGUAGGUUUUGAGAUUUCAAUCUAAUUUCAGUGUUUUCGUCAGUCUUUUCUUAGUUAUAUAUUUGUGAGUUAAGCUUUGUAUUAAUAAUGAAACAAAAUGCAAAGAGCUGAUGUUGGCAAGCAGCGACUA